ACUUUUUGUGCUGUGGUGGAGAUUGCAUGCUUAUGGACUGCUGACUUGCUAGUUGGCUGACCACGUGCACAUACAGAGGGGGUCUUUGCUGGCUCUUAUGCUUGCAACUAUACUUUAACACAGACGGCGCUAACUGGGUUCCCACAUGUUAAAAUUGGGCUGACUACUUCCCUGGAUAAAAUGAAAAUCAUGUUGGGGGCAAAUUAAGCCCAUCUGUAUUACAUAAUAUAUUAUAUUCUAUACUACUGCAUUAAUAGGUUCCCCUGAGGACGUCCUUGUGCGUUCUCACUGGCACAUGGACAGAAACGUGUUGGGAACAACUGACAUAACAUAAGGGAACACCUUGGCUGUAUGUAAUACAUAUUGUGAUGUAAUGAAUAGUAUGAGGGAGGAAUCUGGAACAUCCCCAAUACUACUAUAGGAUAGGUCCAUUGUGAUUGAUCCCGGAUAUCCAUAAGGGAUAAG